GACUGAACCGCUCCGGUGGCCUAGUGGUUAGAGCCUCCGCCUCGGAUGCGGGAGUUCGUUGGUUCGAUCCCCGGCCGAGUCA